GAUUAAAUAACUCAGGUCGCUCAAAUAGCAUGAAAAAAUCAAAAGAUGUGUAACCCAUAACUCCAGGCAAGAAAACAAGGAUCAGUUGAUACGCUGAAGGUUAUGGUUGAUCUUGGCAUUUUGCUGCCAACAGCACAUCAGCGAAGUUAAUUGUUACGAUGGAGGACAGGAAUCGAGAGUAAUAUGAUAAAAACAAAAAUUAAUUUACUGAAUGUAAAAAUUUAUUUAGGACUGUCAGGCUAAAGUUACUUUGUGAGUUCUACUAAUUAAGUGUUGAUUAAAUAACUCAGGUCGCUCAAAUAGCAUGAAAAAAUCAAAAGAUGUGUAACCCAUAACUCCAGGCAAGAAAACAAGGAUCAGUUGAUACGCUGAAGGUUAUGGUUGAUCUUGGCAUUUUGCUGCCAACAGCACAUCGGAGCACUUAAUUUUUACAGUGAAUAUAAGGAAGAAAUAAAUUGAGACCCUUAAAAAAAAGAUAUAGACGAGUGUCAUGACUAAUUGUAAAUGAUAAAUCUAUACAUGAAGCUAAAAAAAUUUAUGAAGGAAAUUGAAAUUAACUGAUAUCAGCAGAGCAAAAUGUCAAGGAAAUAAAAAAUUCCGAUAAUCAAUUUCAGUUGAAAUAAACAUAAAUCUACAAGCUGAGGAAAAAUAGAUGAUGCCAUUAAUUCACUUGCAAUAUCUGAUGAUAGAAAUUCAUUUCGAGCUCAGUAUCAAUUAUAGUCUUGCAUAGAUAAGACACGAAUCUGAGAUCACUCAUCUAAUUACUGACUCAAAAAAACAAAAAUGUCGAAAUUCAUUUUACUGCUAUCGAUUUUUUUGAUUAUUGGCUUAUAUGCUAGUGCAGUUGAAGGUUGCAAAGAUGGUUGGUGUCACCCUUCGAAUGGUUAUGAUUGUUGUAAGGGAUUUGAUUGCACCUCAUACUUUGGUGAAGGCACUUGCCAAGAUCUUGGUAAGAAUGGUGUGCCAAUUUGAAAAUCAAAAUUAUUAACAUAGUAGUUGUGAUAGUUGUAAAGUUUUUUCAUGAACAUUGUUUAAAUAUGUAUCAAUCUUUACCAAUAAAAAAUGAUCAAUCAA